GAUGAACGCUGACAGAAUGCUUAACACAUGCAAGUCAACUUGAACUUCGGUUUGGGUGGUGGACGGGUGAGUAACGCGUAAAGAACUUGCCUCACAGAUAGGGACAACAUUUGGAAACGAAUGCUAAUACCUGAUAUUAUGAUUAUAUGGCAUCGUAUAAUUAUGAAAGCUAUAUGCGCUGUGAGAGAGCUUUGCGUCCCAUUAGCUAGUUGGAGAGGUAACGGCUCACCAAGGCGAUGAUGGGUAGCCGGCCUGAGAGGGUGAUCGGCCACAAGGGGACUGAGACACGGCCCUUACUCCUACGGGAGGCAGCAGUGGGGAAUAUUGGACAAUGGACCAAGAGUCUGAUCCAGCAAUUCUGUGUGCACGAUGAAGUUUUUCGGAAUGUAAAGUGCUUUCAGUUGGGAAGAAAAAAAUGACGGUACCAACAGAAGAAGUGACGGCUAAAUACGUG
rnacentral:rRNA from 1 species